UACGGGAGGCAGCAGUGAGGAAUAUUGGUCAAUGGGCGAGAGCCUGAACCAGCCAAGUAGCGUGCAGGAUGACGGCCCUAUGGGUUGUAAACUGCUUUUAUCAGGGGAUAAAGUCGCCCACGUGUGGGUGUUUGCAGGUACCUGAUGAAUAAGGACCGGCUAAUUCCGUGCCAGCAGCCGCGGUAAU
rnacentral:rRNA from 1 species